rnacentral:lncRNA from 1 species
UCCAAAAUGUGAAGGACAGGAAUAAUUUAUAUAAAUAAUAAAUACAAGAAUUCAUAGGUCCAUUCCUACAAUCCAAAGUGCCUCAUAGGAAAAUUCCUAUAGGUUUACCAAUGAGAUUCCUUUGUUCCAAAAAAGAAGAGCUUAACCUCAUGAAAACGGUAGAUAGUCUAUUACAUCUAUUUACAAAUGUGUUUUCUCAAUUUUGACAACUUUCUCAAACGUAGUAAUUCACAACCCCAACAUAAAUAUUCUCUGGCUCCACAGGUGGUCGCUCGAUCACUGUUAUAUUUUCUGUCUCUACAAACUCCCACUUUCCUAGCAGUUGAUGCCACAGGUUUGGAUAUUUGGGCCAGCGAGACGGGUAGUGAAUGGAUCAACACGAAC